CACUCCUGCGGGAGGCAGCAGUGGGGAAUAUUGCACAAUGGGCGCAAGCCUGAUGCAGCCAUGCCGCGUGUAUGAAGAAGGCCUUCGGGUUGUAAAGUACUUUCAGCGGGGAGGAAGGCGAUAAGGUUAAUAACCUUGUCGAUUGACGUUACCCGCAGAAGAAGCACCGGCUAACUCCGUGCCAGCAGCCGCGGUAAUACGGAGGGUGCAAGCGUUAAUCGGAAUUACUGGGCGUAAAGCGCACGCAGGCGGUCUGUCAAGUCGGAUGUGAAAUCCCCGGGCUCAACCUGGGAACUGCAUUCGAAACUGGCAGGCUAGAGUCUUGUAGAGGGGGGUAGAAUUCCAGGUGUAGCGGUGAAAUGCGUAGAGAUCUGGAGGAAUACCGGUGGCGAAGGCGGCCCCCUGGACAAAGACUGACGCUCAGGUGCGAAAGCGUGGGGAGCAAACAGGAUUAGAAACCCGUGUAGUCC
rnacentral:rRNA from 1 species